rnacentral:lncRNA from 1 species
AAAUAGUCCUAGAAGGGGUCUGGACAGGCAAAAUGGGGGCCUGAAGGGGGCAGAGAGAUUUCUGGCCAAGGAAGUUAUGGUUACCAGGCAUAGCAGUAUAUGGGGCAGAGGCUGCAGCAGGAGCCGGGCGUGGUGGUAGAUGGGGCAGAGGCUGCAGCAGGAGCUGGGCGUGGAGGUAGAUGGGGCAGAGGCUGCAGCAGGAGCCGGGCGUGGAGGUAGAUGGGGCAGAGGCUGCAGCAGGAACAGGCGUGGAGGUAGAUGGGGCAGAGGCUGCAGCAGGAGCUGCGCGUGGAGGUAGAUGGGGCAGAGGCUGCAGCAGGAGCUGGGCAUGGAGGUAGAUGGGGCAGAGGCUGCAGCAGGAACAGGCGUGGAGGUAGAUGGGGCAGAGGCUGCAGCAGGAGCCGGGCGUGGAGGUAGGUGGGGCAGAGGCUGCAGCAGGAACCAGGCAUGGAGGUAGAUGCGGCAGAGGCUGCAGCAAGAGCCGGGCGUGGAGGUAGAUGGGGCAGAGGCUGCAGCAGGAACAGGCGUGGCAGUAGAUGGGGCUGAGGCUGCAGCAGGAACAGGCGUGGCAGUAGAUGGGGCAGAGGCUGCAGCAGAACUGUGCAGGAGGGAAGUCACUCACUCUUCACUCUCACGGGCUUCCCCUGGCUGCUCAGUAGGGUCCUUUGGAAGCUGCUGAAAACUGCAAAUGCUUAGCCCACCCAGGCUCCGUGUGACACAGCCAGGAGUGAGCUCCACAGCUCUGUGUGGUGGACAUCCAGCCUCCCUACCCUGGGAAAGCUGAAAUGCAAAGAAACACGUGUUUUAGUAGCUAAUUAUUGGCCUUUGAGCUUCCAAAACCCCACAUUCCGGCAAUCUGUAGAGCUCUUCAGGCCAGGCGCAUUGGCUCAUGCCUGUAAUCCCAGCACUUUGGGAGGCUGGGGCGGGAGGAUCACUUGAGCCCAGGAGUUCAAGACCAGCCUGGGCAACAUAGGGAGACCCCGUCUCUACAAAAAAUAAAAAAUUAGCUGGGUAUGGUGGCUUGUGCCUGUCGUCCCAGCUACUCAGGAGGCUGAGGCGGGAGGAUCGCUUGAACCCAGGAAGAGGAAGCUGCAGUGAGC